rnacentral:rRNA from 1 species
UACAGAGGGUGCGAGCGUUGUUCGGAAUUAUUGGGCGUAAAGCGCGUGUAGGCGGCAUAGCAAGUCGGGUGUGAAAGCCCUCAGCUUAACUGAGGAAGUGCGCCCGAAACUGCUGUGCUUGAGUGCCGGAGAGGAUGGCGGAAUUCCCCAAGUAGAGGUGAAAUUCGUAGAUAUGGGGAGGAACACCGGUGGCGAAGGCGGCCAUCUGGACGGCAACUGACGCUGAGACGCGAAAGCGUGGGGAGCAAACAGG